rfam:Alphaproteobacteria bacterium 65-37 SCNpilot_cont_300_bf_scaffold_599, whole genome shotgun sequence.
GGGCGCAUAGCUCAGUUGGUAGAGCAGCUGACUCUUAAUCAGCGGGUCCCAGGUUCGAGCCCUGGUGCGCCCA